CGUAUAUUAAAGUUGUUGCGGUUAAAACGUUCGUAGUUGAACUUGUGCUUCAUACGGGUAGUACACCAAAAUUUGGUUUAGUACAUUACCUAUUGUAUGUAAGCGUAUUACCGGUGGAGUUCUUAUAUAUUAUAUAUAUUUAUAUAUAUAAUAUAUUGCUCCUACUUAAACCUGACUCAAUGCUCUUUACCGAGUGUUGUUUUGGGCCGGUACAAUUACUUUGAACAAAUUAGAGUGCUUAAAGCAGGCUCUUAAUGCCUGAAUAUUCUGUGCAUGGAAUAAUGGAAUAAGACCUCUGUUCUAAUUUCAUUGGUUUUUAGAUCAAGAGGUAAUGAUUAAUAGAAGCAGUUGGGGGCAUUAGUAUUACGACGCGAGAGGUGAAAUUCUUGGACCGUCGUAAGACUAACUUAAGCGAAAGCAUUUGCCAAAGAUGUUUUCAUUAAUCAAGAACGAAAGUUAGAGGUUCGAAGGCGAUCAGAUACCGCCCUAGUUCUAACCAUAAACGAUGCCAGCCAGCAAUUGGGUGUAGCUACUUUAAUGGCUCUCUCAGUCGCUUCCCGGGAAACCAAAGCUUUUGGGCUCCGGGGGAAGUAUGGUUGCAAAGCUGAAACUUAAAGGAAU
rnacentral:rRNA from 1 species